rnacentral:rRNA from 1 species
UAGGGAAUCUUCCGCAAUGGGCGAAAGCCUGACGGAGCAACGCCGCGUGAGUGAUGAAGGUCUUCGGAUCGUAAAACUCUGUUAUUAGGGAAGAACAAAUGUGUAAGUAACUAUGCACGUCUUGACGGUACCUAAUCAGAAAGCCACGGCUAACUACGUGCCAGCAGCCGCGGUAAUACGUAGGUGGCAAGCGUUAUCCGGAAUUAUUGGGCGUAAAGCGCGCGUAGGCGGUUUUUUAAGUCUGAUGUGAAAGCCCACGGCUCAACCGUGGAGGGUCAUUGGAAACUGGAAAACUAGAGUGCAGAAGAGGAAAGUGGAAUUCCAUGUGUAGCGGUGAAAUGCGCAGAGAUAUGGAGGAACAACAGUGGCGAAGGCGACUUUCUGGUCUGUAACUGACGCUGAUGUGCGAAAGCGUGGGGAUCAAACAGG